rnacentral:rRNA from 1 species
UACGUAGGGGCCGAGCGUUGUCCGGAUUUAUUGGGCGUAAAGCGCGCGCAGGCGGCUUCGCGCGCCCGCCGUGAAAGCCCCCGGCUUAACCGGGGAGAGUCGGUGGGGACGGCGGAGCUUGAGGGCGGGAGAGGUCGGUGGAAUUCCCGGUGUAGUGGUGAAAUGCGUAGAGAUCGGGAGGAACACCUGUGGCGAAGGCGGCCGACUGGGCCGACCCUGACGCUGAGGCGCGAAGGCGUGGGGAGCGAACGGG